AAGAAUUGCUACUGCACCACAUGUGUUUUUCUUUGAAACAAACUUGCUUUGGCGGUGGGCCCAGCCUGCCGCCAGAGGUCUAAACUUACAACCAAUUUUUUAUCAACUUGUCACACCAGAUUAUUACUAAUAGUCAAAACUUUCAACAACGGAUCUCUUGGUUCUCGCAUCGAUGAAGAACGCAGCGAAAUGCGAUACGUAAUAUGAAUUGCAGAUAUUCGUGAAUCAUCGAAUCUUUGAACGCACAUUGCGCCCUCUGGUAUUCCGGAGGGCAUGCCUGUUUGAGCGUCGUUUCUCCCUCAAACCGCUGGGUUUGGUGUUGAGCAAUACGACUUGGGUUUGCUUGAAAGACGGUAGUGGUAAGGCGGGAUCGCUUUGACAAUGGCUUAGGUCUAACCAAAAACAUUGCUUGCGGCGGUAACGUCCACCACGUAUAUCUUCAAACUUUGACCUCAAAUCAGGUAGGACUACCCGCUGAACUUAAGCAUAUCAAUAGCCGGGAGGAA
rnacentral:rRNA from 1 species